GUUGAAACACCAGUUCUCGUACGAAUUCCGAAGUUAAGCAACGUCGAGCUUGGUCAGUACCUAGAUGGAUAACCGCUUGGGAAUACCAGAUGCUGUA